AAUAUUUGUCGCUUUGAGUUUUUUUUUAUAACGUUUGAUCAUUCGUCUUAUUCAAAGUAUUAGAAAAUUAUCAUUUAUUUUGUUUGUGACUUGCUUAAUUAUCAAAAGUACUUUAAGGAUGACUUCUCGUUUUUUAUAUUUGCACUAAUUUUUCACAUAAGACGAAUGGUCAAACGUUGCUAGUAAAAAGUUAAAGCGACAUCUAUU
rfam:Oryza glumipatula chromosome 1, whole genome shotgun sequence.